GUCCUAGCUGUAAACUGUGCACGUUUGCUGUAAGAGGAAUCGACCCCUUUUGUGGCGAAGCUAACGCGUUAAACGUGCCGCCUGGGGGAGUACGGUCGCAAGAUUAAAACUCAAAGAAAUUGACGGGGGCCUGCACAAGCGGUGGAGUAUGUGGCUUAAUUCGAUGCAACGCGAAGAACCUUACCUGGCCUUGACAUGUAGGUAGUAGAAGCCUGAAAGGGUAACGAGGUAGCAAUACCAGCUUACACAGGUGCUGCAUGGCUGUCGU
rnacentral:rRNA from 1 species